GUCUACGGCCAUGCCACCCUGAACAAGCCUGAUGUCUGAUCUCGGAAGCUAAGCGGGGUCAGGCCUGGUUAAUACUUGGAUGGGGGACCACCUAGGAAGACCAGGUGCUGUAGGCA
rnacentral:rRNA from 1 species